rnacentral:rRNA from 1 species
UUGUGGUAAGGGGUGAAAGGCCAACCAAAUUCGUAGAUAGCUGGUUUUCCGCGAAAACUAUUUAGGUAGUGCGUUGAAUAAACAUAUGUUUGGAGGUAGAGCACUAAAUGGGCUAGGGGAGAGAAAUCUUUACCAAACCUAAUAAAACUCCGAAUGCCAAACAUAAUUCCUCAACAGACAGACUGUGGGUGCUAAGGUCCAUGGUCGAGAGGGGAACAGCCCAGAUCACCAGAUAAGGUCCCUAAAUCAUGAUUAAGUGUGAAAGGAUGUGGAGAUUCCUUAACAGCCGGGAGGUUGGCUUAGAAGCAGCCAUCCUUUAAAGAUAGCGUAACAGCUCACCGGUCUAAUAGAGUUUCUGCGCCUAAGAUGUAACGGGGCUCAAAUCAUGUACCGAAUCUGUGGGUGUAUAAAGUUUUCGAAUUUUAUACGCGGUAGCGGAACGUUCUGUAAGCCUGUAAAGGGAUACCCGUGAGGGAUCCUGGAGGUAUCAGAAGUGCGAAUGCUGACAUAAGUAACGAUUAACAGAGUGAAAAACUCUGUCGCCGAAAAUCCAAGGGUUCCUGCGCAAGGUUAAUCCGCGCAGGGUUAGUCGACCCCUAAGACGAGGGCGAAAGCCGUAGUCGAUGGGAACCAGGUUAAUAUUCCUGGACCAGAUGGUAGUGACGGAUUUCGUAAAUUGUUAACUCUUAAUGGAUUGAGUUAGCUGUGAAGAAAUUCCAGGAAAUAGCUCCAUCAUAAGAUCGUACCCGAAACCGACACAGGUGGAUUAGUAGAGUAUAUCUAGGCGCUUGAGAGAAUGAUGUUGAAGGAACUCGGCAAAAUGCCUCUGUAACUUCGGAAGAAAGAGGACCUAUUUUUGGGCAACCAUAAGUAGGUGGCACAAGCCAGGGAGAAGCGACUGUUUAUCAAAAACACAGGACUCUGCUAACACGUAAGUGGAUGUAUAGGGUCUGACGCCUGCCCGGUGCCGGAAGGUUAAUGCGAUGGGUGCAAGCCUGUUUCUGAAGCCCCGGUGAACGGCGGCCGUAACUAUAACGGUCCUAAGGUAGCGAAAUUCCUUGUCGGGUAAGUUCCGACCUGCAUGAAUGGCGUAACGAUUUCUCCGCUGUCUCCAACAUCAACUCAGUGAAA